AUUGAACGCUGGCGGCAUGCCUUACACAUGCAAGUCGAACGGUAACAGGUCUUCGGAUGCUGACGAGUGGCGAACGGGUGAGUAAUACAUCGGAACGUGCCUAGUAGUGGGGGAUAACUACUCGAAAGAGUGGCUAAUACCGCAUGAGAUCUACGGAUGAAAGCAGGGGAUCGCAAGACCUUGUGCUACUAGAGCGGCCGAUGGCAGAUUAGGUAGUUGGUGGGAUAAAAGCUUACCAAGCCGACGAUCUGUAGCUGGUCUGAGAGGACGAUCAGCCACACUGGGACUGAGAAAAGGCCCAGACUCCUACGGGAGGCAGCAGUGGGGAAUUUUGGACAAUGGGCGCAAGCCUGAUCCAGCAAUGCCGCGUGCAGGAUGAAGGCCUUCGGGUUGUAAACUGCUUUUGUACGGAACGAAAAGCCCCGGGUUAAUACCCUGGGGUCAUGACGGUACCGUAAGAAUAAGCACCGGCUAACUACGUGCCAGCCGCCGCCGUAA
rnacentral:rRNA from 1 species